CGAGAAAGCCCGCAAGGGUGAGUACAGCGGCGCACGGGUGCGUAACACGUGAGUAAUCUGCCCUGGAGCCCGGAAUAACCUCCCGAAAGGGAAGCUAAUGCCGGAUGAGCCCACGGGGUCCUUGGACUCUGAGGGAAAAGGCGGCCUCUGUAUACAAGCUGUCACUUCAGGAUGAGCUCGCGGCCCAUCAGCUAGUUGGCGGGGUAAUGGCCCACCAAGGCUACGACGGGUAGCUGGUCUGAGAGGACGAUCAGCCACACUGGAACUGAGACACGGUCCAGACUCCUACGGGAGGCAGCAGUGGGGAAUCUUGCGCAAUGGGCGAAAGCCUGACGCAGCAACGCCGCGUGUGUGAUGAAGGUCUUCGGAUCGUAAAGCACUGUCGCGAGGGA
rnacentral:rRNA from 1 species